UAAUACAAGGGAUCAUUUGGUUCUAGAUUGACGAAGAAGGGCAAUAAAGAUAUUGAAAACUAUUAGAACAUUAGUAACGAUAAUGGGUUCCCUAAUAACUUUGUAAGGCAACUCCUCGGAUUUAAGCAUAUGAGUAGAGGAAGGAAAAGAAACUAACAAGGAUUUCUCUAGUAGCGGCGAGUGAACAAGAAACAGCUCAAAGUAUAAUUCUAAUAUAAAUAUAUAUAUAGAAUAUGUCAAAAAAAUAUACAAUU
rnacentral:rRNA from 1 species